rfam:Schistosoma mattheei strain Denwood, Zambia genome assembly, scaffold: SMTD_contig0000640
AUCCAUCUGACGAGUCCCAAAUAGGACGAAACGUGCGUCCUGGAU